rnacentral:rRNA from 1 species
GACAGAGGGUGCGAACGUUGUUCGGAAUUACUGGGCGUAAAGCGUGUGUAGGCGGCCAAGAAAGUCGGAUGUGAAAGCCCCUGGCUCAACUGGGGAAGUGCACCCGAAACUGAAUGGCUUGAAUACAAAAGAGGGUCGCGGAAUUCCCGGUGUAGAGGUGAAAUUCGUAGAUAUCGGGAGGAACACCGGUGGCGAAGGCGGCGACCUGGGUUGAUAUUGACGCUGAGGCGCGAAAGCGUGGGGAGCAAACAGG